rnacentral:rRNA from 1 species
UACAGAGGGUGCGCGCGUUAAUCGGAAUUACUGGGCGUAAAGCGCACGUAGGCGGCUUGGCAUGUCGGGUGUGAAAUCCCCGGGCUCAAACUGGGAACUGCAUCCGAAACUGCCUUGCUCGAGUAUGGGAGAGGGAAGUGGAAUUUCCGGUGUAGCGGUGAAAUGCGUAGAUAUCGGAAGGAACAUCAGUGGCGAAGGCGACUUCCUGGACCAAUACUAACGCUCAGGUGCGAAAGCGUGGGGAGCAAACAGG